rnacentral:rRNA from 1 species
CUUAGCAUAUCAAAAGCGGAGGAAAAGAAACCAACAGGGAUUGCCCUAGUAACGGCGAGUGAAGCGGCAACAGCUCAAAUUUGAAAUCUGGCCCCCGCGGUCCGAGUUGUAAUUUGUAGAGGAUGCUUUUGGUGCGGUGCCUUCCGAGUUCCCUGGAACGGGACGCCAUAGAGGGUGAGAGCCCCGUCUGGUUGGAUACCAAUCCUCUGUAAAGCUCCUUCGACGAGUCGAGUAGUUUGGGAAUGCUGCUCUAAAUGGGAGGUAUAUGUCUUCUAAAGCUAAAUACCGGCCAGAGACCGAUAGCGCACAAGUAGAGUGAUCGAAAGAUGAAAAGCACUUUGAAAAGAGGGUUAAAUAGUACGUGAAAUUGUUGAAAGGGAAGCGUUUGUGACCAGACUUGGGCUCGGUCAAUCAUCCAGCGUUCUCGCUGGUGCACUUGGCCGGCCCAGGCCAGCAUCAGUUUGCCGCGGGGGAGAAAGGUUUCGGGAACGUAGCUCCUCGGAGUGUUAUAGCCCGUUGCGUAAUACCCUGCGGCGGACUGAGGUUCGCGCAUCUGCUAGGAUGCUGGCGUAAUGGUCAUCAACGACCCGUCUUGAAACACGGACCAAGGAGUCGUCUUCGUAUGCGAGUGUUCGGGUGUCAAACCCCUACGCGUAAUGAAAGUGAACGGAGGUGGGAGCCUCGGCGCACCAUCGACCGAUCCUGAUGUUUUUGGAUGGAUUUGAGUAAGAGCAUACGGGGCCGGACCCGAAAGAAGGUGAACUAUGCCUGUAUAGGGUGAAGCCAGAGGAAACUCUGGUGGAGGCUCGCAGCGGUUUUGACGUGCAAAUCGAUCGUCAAAUAUGGGCAUGGGGGCGAAAGACUAAUCGAACCUUCUAGUAGCUGGUUUCCGCCGAG